UACGUAGGGUGCAAGCGUUGUCCGGAAUUAUUGGGCGUAAAGAGCUCGUAGGCGGCUCGUCGCGUCGACCGUGAAAACCUACCGCUUAACGGUGGGCUUGCGGUCGAUACGGGCGGGCUAGAGUUCGGUAGGGGAGACUGGAAUUCCUGGUGUAGCGGUGAAAUGCGCAGAUAUCAGGAGGAACACCGGUGGCGAAGGCGGGUCUCUGGGCCGAUACUGACGCUGAGGAGCGAAAGCGUGGGGAGCGAACAGG
rnacentral:rRNA from 1 species